GGAAUCUUCCACAAUGGGCGAAAGCCUGAUGGAGCAACGCCGCGUGGGUGAAGAAGGGUUUCGGCUCGUAAAGCUCUGUUGUUAAAGAAGAACGUGGGUAAGAGUAACUGUUUACCCAGUGACGGUAUUUAACCAGAAAGCCACGGCUAACUACGUGCAG
rnacentral:rRNA from 1 species